rnacentral:pre_miRNA from 1 species
UCUUCAUUUCCCACACUGUCUCACCGAUCAGAGUGGCGAGAGAGCGUGUGAAAUGAAGAGA